AUGUCUGUAUGCCCAAGGGAAGUGUUUCACAGAAGAGAGGAGUUUUUCAAGCUGAUCAAGGAAGCCCCAGGAGGCUGUUUAAUUCAAAUACUCCCCACAAAUUGCCCCAAGUGUCCUGGCUGCAGAAUGCUAUACAGGAAUGAAAACAAAGACAUCCAAGCCUUGAGCCAUUUAGAAGAGGAAGAAGCCAAAAUCCAUGCCAGAGGUUCGACUGCUGGGUUUACUUAUGGCUUCAGGCACAAAUUAAUGACCUUCAAACAGUACAGUGAUAUCGUCUUGAGCCCYCUACUCAGCCAAUCUGCUUUGCUCUCAGCUGCUGAACCAUGUCUGAUCACCCCCUUUGAAGGGGAACGUGUGAUGUUGAGGAGCAAUGAGAUGUUUGCAGAGCCAUUUGUAGAAAGAGAAGACCAUCAGGUGGAACAAGGAAGCUGUUUUCUGCAGGAGGAGCCUGAAGCCAAGUAUCAAUUUGUUUUGAAACUGAAAUCCAGACAAUUGUCAACUAUGCUGAGAAGGCAACAUUUACAACCCCGGUUUGCAAUAUGGGACUACAUCGAGAUCCCCAACUGUACCUCUCACUGAAGGCCCAUAGGAAAAUCCAGAGAGGUGUCAUAUCACUAAAAGAAGAAUACUGGGAAGAGGGAAAAGGUUUAACAAGGUAAACCUUAACUGUUCUUUUUUUCCCAAGACAGCUGAAUAGAAAGACUAUUUCAGAAAGUGACCCCCCCACACACUCUUGCUGAACAAACAUGGUUAUAUCAAGGUGAAGUGGAGCAAAAAUUAUCUGCRUAAGAGCUUAAAUGGAAUAGUCCUCAGCUUCAUGCAAAUUGAAACAUAUGUCAUUUAGCUGAAAUAAAUUCCCUAAUACUCCUUAGUUAUUUUGACA
rnacentral:lncRNA from 1 species